AUGCUCGACGUACUCGAAAGAGCGACCGUUGGACACGUAUAUCUUCACGGCGGGCGGAUGGGUGCAUGCGCUGCUCCCGUCCCCCGCCCUCGAGUCGGGCGAGGAUGGUGGGGCGGUUCUGGCCUCGCUGUGGCGCGGCUCCCUCCCCUCCGUGCUCGACCCGUACUAACAACCAAACUCCGGCGCGAGAAGCGCCAAGGAAAUCGUACCGAUCGCGUGCCCCUUCGGCCCCGGAGACGGUGUGCUGACCGGGCGCGCGCUUGACAUAUUGUCGUGUAAACUUAACGACUCUCGGCAACGGAUAUCUCGGCUCUCGCAUCGAUGAAGAACGUAGCGAAAUGCGAUACUUGGUGUGAAUUGCAGAAUCCCGUGAACCAUCGAGUCUUUGAACGCAAGUUGCGCCCAACGCCUUCUGGCCGAGGGCACGUCUGCCUGGGUGUCACGCAUCGUCGCCCUCCCCGCCUUCGCCUCAUCUUUGGGGCGCGGAGCUGAGGGGCGGAUGCUGGUCUCCCGUGUGCCUCGGCAUGCGGCUGGCUUAAAAAUCACAGGACCACGGUGCAGAACGCCGCGUCGCAGGGUGGACGAGGUAAUCUCUAAGACCGGACGCGUGCUUCGCCGUUGCCUAUCUCAGGACCCACCGCGCUGCUGUGCAGUGCACUCCGACGCGACCCCAGGUCAGGCGGGAUCACCCGCUGAGUUUAACAUUAAAAA
rnacentral:rRNA from 1 species